rnacentral:rRNA from 1 species
AGUGAACGCUGGCGGUAGGCCUAACACAUGCAAGUCGAACGAGUGGCGGACGGGUGAGGAAUACAUCGGAAUCUACUCUGUCGUGGGGGAUAACGUAGGGAAACCUACGCUAAUACCGCAUACGAUUGAUUGAGCCGAUGUCGGAUUAGCUAGUGGGCGGGGUAAAGGCCCACCAAGGCGACGAUCCGUAGCGGGUCUGAGAGGAUGAUCGGCCACACUGGAACUGAGACACGGCCCAGACUCCUACGGGAGGCAGCAGUGGGGAAUAUUGGACAAUGGGCGCAAGCCUGAUCCAGCCAUACCGCGUGGGUGAAGAAGGCCUUCGGGUUGUAAAGUACUUUCAGCGGGGAGGCGUUACCCGCAGAAGAAGCACCGGCUAACUCCGUGCCAGCCGCCGCGGUAAUUC